CAGUAGCCACGGUAAUACGAGGGGGACAAGCGUUGUUCGGAAUUAUUGGGCGUAAAGGGCGCGUAGGCGGUUUGGCAAGUUUGGUGUGAAAUCUUCGGGCUCAACUCGAAGUCUGCACCGAAAACUGCCGGGCUUGAGUAUGGGAGAGGUGAGUGGAAUUUCCGGUGUAGCGGUGAAAUGCGUAGAGAUCGGGAGGAACAUCAGUGGCGAAGGCGGCCAUCUGGGACAACACUGACGCUGAGGCACGAAAGCGUGGGGAGCAAACAGGAUUAGAUACCCCUGUAGUCCCUGUCUCUUAUAC
rnacentral:rRNA from 1 species